UCAAGCUUAUCGAUACCGUCGAUAUAUGGAGGAACACCAGUGGCGAAGGCGGUCGCCUGGUCUGUAACUGACACUGAGGCACGAAAGCGUGGGGAGCAAAUAGGAUUAGAUACCCUAGUAGUCCACGCCGUAAACGAUGAGAACUAAGUGUUGGAGGAAUUCAGUGCUGCAGUUAACGCAAUAAGUUCUCCGCCUGGGGAGUAUGCACGCAAGUGUGAAACUCAAAGGAAUUGACGGGGGCCCGCACAAGCGGUGGAGUAUGUGGUUUAAUUCGAAGCAACGCGAAGAACCUUACCAGGCCUUGACAUGGAUACAAAGACUCUAGAGAUAGAGGGAUAAUUAUGGAUCACACAGGUGGUGCAUGGUUGUCGUCAGCUCGUGUCGUGAGAUGUUGGGUUAAGUCCCGCAACGAGCGCAACCCUUGUCGCAUGUUACCAGCAUCAAGUUGGGGACUCAUGCGAGACUGCCGGUGACAAACCGGAGGAAGGUGGGGAUGACGUCAAAUCAUCAUGCCCCUUAUGGCCUGGGCUACACACGUACUACAAUGGCGACCACAAAGAGCAGCGACUUGGUGACAAGGAGCGAAUCUCAUAAAGGUCGUCUCAGUUCGGAUUGAAGUCUGCAACUCGACUUCAUGAAGUCGGAAUCGCUAGUAAUCGCAGAUCAGCAUGCUGCGGUGAAUACGUUCUCGGGCCUUGUACACACCGCCCGUCAAACCAUGGGAGUCAGUAAUACCCGAAGCCGGUGGCAUAACCGCAAGGAGUGAGCCGUCGAAGGUAGGACCGAUGACUGGGGUUAAGUCGUAACAAGGUAUCCCUACGGGAACGUGGGGAUG
rnacentral:rRNA from 1 species